AUUGAACGCUGGCGGCAGGCCUAACACAUGCAAGUAGAACGAGUUGCGGACGGGUGAGUAAUGUCUGGGAAACUGCCUGAUGGAGGGGGAUAACUACUGGAAACUGUAGCUAAUACCGCAUAUCAUCGGAUGUUCCCAGAUGGGAUUAGCUAGCAGGUGGGGUAAAGGCGCACCUAGGCUACGGUCCCGACUUGGUCUGAGAGGAUGACCAGCCAGACUGGAGCUGAGGCGCGGUCCAGACGCGUAGGGGAGGCAGCCGUGGGGAAUAUUGGACAAUGGGCGCAAGACUGAUGCGGCCAUGCCGCAUGUAUGAAGAAGGCCUUCGGGUUGUAAAGUACUUUCAGCGGGGAGGCGUUACCCGCAGAAGAAGCACCGGCUAACUCCGUGCCAGCAGCCGCGGUAAUUC
rnacentral:rRNA from 1 species